AUGUCCAGUGAAACAAAGAGUACUUUGUUUAUCAUGCACAAGCUGAAGUAUCCCCAACUAUCCAAUGCAGGUUGUAAAAGAGCUAGGGAAAAGGCUAUUUAUUUGGGUGUGCCUUUUGUUGUUGAGUUGUUUAGAAACAAAAGAACACUUCAUCAAAUCCCAAGUUAUAGCGGCAACAGGUGGUUCGUCAGCAUGUGCCUCUAUGAUUUGAUUGCCCUUUUUAAAAAAAAUUCAAUGAAUUGUUUGAGUUGUGUUACAAGUUAG